CACCCGCGCCACAAGUGGUGACCAGUUUUAUUGGGCCUAAAGCGUCCGUAGCCUGUUUGAAAAAUCUUUUGUGAAAUUGUUGCGCUUAACGUAACAGCAUGCAAAAGACACUGCCAAACUUGGGACCGGGAGGAGUCAGAGGUAUUUCUGGGGGAGCGGUAAAAUGCGAUAAUCCUAGAAGGACCACCUAUGGCGAAGGCAUCUGACCAGAACGGAUCCGACGGUGAGGGACGAAAGCCAGGGGAGCAAACCGG
rnacentral:rRNA from 1 species